AGUUGAAAAGGGUGGUGAAAAUGGAGGAAGUGGAGUACUACACAUUGGUGGGGGUGGUGAAGAUGGAGGAGACAAGGCAAUAGUAGUUGAAAAAGGUGGUGAGGUUGGAGGAAGUGGGGUAGUAGUCGUUGAAGAGGGUGGUGAAGGUGGAGGAGGAUGUGGGGCAGUAGUUGCUGAAGAGGGUGGUGAAGGUGGAGGAGGAAGUGGGACACUAGCUGUUGAAGAGGAUGGUAAAGACGGAGAAGGAAUUAGGGCACUAGAUGUCAAUGGGGGAGAUAGAGAUGGAGGUGGAGGAGGUGGGACACUAGUCAUUGAAAAGGAUGGUGAAGGUAGAAAAGGAAGUGGGGCAAUAGUCGUCAAAGAGGGUGGUGAAG
rnacentral:lncRNA from 1 species